AUUGAACGCUGGCGGUAGGCCUAACACAUGCAAGUCGAGCGAGCGGCGGACGGGUGAGUAAUGUAUGGGGAUCUGCCCGAUAGAGGGGGAUAACUACUGGAAACGGUGGCUAAUACCGCAUACUAUCGGAUGAACCCAUAUGGGAUUAGCUAGUAGGUGGGGUAACGGCUCACCUAGGCGACGAUCCCUAGCUGGUCUGAGAGGAUGACCAGCCACACUGGAACUGAGACACGGUCCAGACUCCUACGGGAGGCAGCAGUGGGGAAUAUUGCACAAUGGGCGCAAGCCUGAUGCAGCCAUGCCGCGUGUAUGAAGAAGGCCUUCGGGUUGUAAAGUACUUUCAGCGGGGAGGCGUUACCCGCAGAAGAAGCACCGGCUAACUCCGUGCCAGCAGCCGCGGUAAUUC
rnacentral:rRNA from 1 species